AAGUCGUAACAAGGUUUCCGUAGGUGAACCUGCGGAAGGAUCAUUAUUGAGCUUUGAACCUUGUGGCUUCAAAUGGGAUUGUAGCUGGCCUUCACUGGCAUGUGCUCGCCUGCUUGCUGCUGCAACUUUCUUUGUCCACCUGUGCACCUAUUGUAGGCUAGGAUACUUGUCCAGCUCGGUGUAGUCUUUUACUAGGCUUGCAUCAAGCGUGGUUUGGGAGGUGUGCGCUUGCGCUCCCUCUGCCUUCCUAGCCUAUGUUUACACAAACUCUAAUUGUAUGUCUUGAAUGUCGUUUGUUUUAAUGGACGCGAGUCCUAUAGAACUUUAUACAACUUUCAGCAACGGAUCUCUUGGCUCUC
rnacentral:misc_RNA from 1 species